GGCAUUUUAGGUAGAAUGCCCAGAGGGGACUGGGCGGUCUCGUGGCCUGGAACCCCUACAGAUUUUAUUUUUUUCUCCAGCUUUCUGGAGUUUUUUUUUUUUUUUCUGUUCACCCUGGCAAUCGGACCUUACUCCUUUUCUAUGUUAACUAAUGUUGUCUUAUUUUAAUUUCUUAUUUUGUCUUUUAUUUUUCUUUUCUUCAUUAUGUAAAGCACUUUGAGCUAUUUUUUGUAUGAAAAUGUGCUAUAUAAAUAAAUGUUGUUGUUAAUCCGAGUACAGCAUAAAGCCAAUGAAACUUCUGGGCUAUUGAUCUGGUCAGUUAAGUAGCAGAGGGGGUUGUUAAUCAGUUUCAGCUGCUUUGGUGUUAAUGAAAUGAACAACAGGUGCACUAGAGGGGCAACAAUGAGACGACCCCCAAAACAGGAAUGGUUUAACAGGUGGAGGCCACUGACAUUUUUCCCUCCUCAUCUUUUCUGACUGUUUCUUCACUAGUUUUGCAUUUGGCUACAGUCAGUGUCACUACUGGUAGCAUGAGGCAAUACCU